AAGUCGUAACAAGGUCUCCGUUGGUGAACCAGCGGAGGGAUCAUUAAAGAGUUGCAAAACUCCAACCCCUGUGAACCUUACCUGCACGUUGCUUCGGCGGCCGACGCCACGCCCAGCCGGGCCUGGAGGACGCCGCCGGAGGUCCAAAACCCUGAAUUCUAGUGUAUCUCUGAGCAUGGAAAGAACCAAACCAAUUAAAACUUUCAACAACGGAUCUCUUGGCUCUGGC
rnacentral:misc_RNA from 1 species